GGCUACAGGAUCCUUGCUGGGGGUUCGGGGAGCGCUUGGACCCCGGCUUCUGAGACGCGUCAGGAGAAGGGAGCACUGGCUUUGCUUUCAUCAGGCCAAAGAUGCCUUUCUUUGGGAAUACGUUCAGUCCGAAGAAGACACCUCCUCGGAAGUCGGCCUCUCUCUCCAACCUGCAUUCUGUGCCAGGUAAUGAUUAGAGAAAUGAGUUGUUGGGGUCAUAUUGUUGGCGGAAGAGGAGCUGGGAUGAAGGCGUGUUCCGGGCCUGCUGAAGUUGUCACAUAGCAUCUCGCCCACAGUUGGAUCGAUCAACCCGGGAGGUGGAGCUGGGCUUGGAAUACGGAUCCCCGACUAUGAACCUGGCAGGGCAAAGCCUGAAGUUUGAAAAUGGCCAGUGGAUAGCAGGUGAGCUGCACUUCCUGCCAUUUUGUCAAACAAGAUUGUAGGAGGAAAUCCCCCUUUAACUGGUUCUGUCCUUCCUCCAGAGACAGGGGUUAGUGGCGGUGUGGACCGGAGGGAGGUUCAGCGCCUUCGCAGGCGGAACCAGCAGUUGGAGGAAGAGAACAAUCUCUUGCGGCUGAAAGUGGACAUCCUGUUAGACAUGCUUUCAGAGUCCACUGCCGAAUCCCACUUAAUGGAGAAGGAACUGGAUGAACUGAGGAUCAGCCGGAAGAGAAAAUGAAGACCCCAGAGACAUUUAUUGGGGAGUAGGAUGUGGCUGAGUGCUUUUUUUUUUUGGCCAGACUAGCGGAUUCAGUCCUGGAAGAGAGUAUCAUAUAAUGGGACCCACAGGCACUGGCACCCUUGGGUUGGCAAUAGAAGGUGACAUGGAAUGGAGAAAACCAAGAUUCCAGAUGGGGA
rnacentral:sRNA from 1 species